ACGCCGAAGAACCUUACCAAGGCUUAAAUGCAGACUGACCGAUUUGGAAACAGAUCUUUCGCAAGACAGUUUACAAGGUGCUGCAUGGUUGUCGUCAGCUCGUGCCGUGAGGUGUCAGGUUAAGUCCUAUAACGAGCGCAACCCCUGUUGUUAGUUGCCAGCGAGUAGUGUCGGGAACUCUAACAAGACUGCCAGUGCAAACUGUGAGGAAGGUGGGGAUGACGUCAAAUCAUCACGGCCCUUACGCCUUGGGCUACACACGUGCUACAAUGGCCGGUACAGAGAGCAGCCACC
rnacentral:rRNA from 1 species